ensembl:lncRNA
AUUCUCUUUCUUCGCGUUCCACUACAAAACAUGUUAAAGGUGUUGGGGCUUACCAAAUCUUUUUAGUCUUUUGUUUCGCAGCUCAAAGAAUGGCCUAUGGAGACUUAAACCCCUUCACCCCUAAGAAAAAGUGUGAACCUUCCCAUCUGAAGGAGGGCGGAGGGGAAGAGGCAGGAAGAGAAGGCUUGGUUUCCGCCCAGAAGCUGGGGACAAGGGAGAGGCUUGGUCACCAGGAUAAAGAACACAGUGUAAAAGGCAAAUCUGUGUGAGCUAAGCUGCUUCAGUUGUGUCCAACUCUUUGUGACCCCAUGGCCUGUAGCCCACCAGGCUCCUCUGUCCAUGGGAUUCUCCAGGCAAGAGUACCGGAGUGGGUUGCCAUUUCCUCCUCCAGGGGAUCUUCCUGACCCAGGGAUCGAAUGAGUAUCUCUUACAUCUCCUGCAUUGGCAGGACUUCUCUUUCCUUUGACCUGUGAACUGGAUCGUGUGGCCCAUCUGAAUUCACCUCUUGAAGCCCUAACACCCACAAUGGCUGACUUCAACGCAGGCCCUGUAAGAGGGUGAUGAGGGCUAAGCGAGGUCGUGGCUGGUCCUGUGCGAACGGCACUGCUGUGCUCACGCCCAGUGACAGGCACCAAGGCUGCGUCCCCUCCGUGUGCUCUGAGAGGGAAGGCCCGGUGAGGCCCCAGCAAGCCAGGGAGGGCACUCGCAUCAGGACGGAACUGUCCCAGCGUCUCCAUCUUGGGUUCUAGCCUCCAGAAAACAAUCCUGUCGUUAAGCCACUCUGUCUCUGGCAUUUAGUUACGGCAGCCCCAGCUGACUCAUAUGGCCCCUCAUCCACGUCCUAGUCAAUUUAUGUUCUGUCCCUGUGACUUUCUCCCUGGUGUACGAUUUUGUCUUGGAGGAGAGAUUUGGAGAGUUAGUUUUGGGGACAUCAUAGGGCCUGUGCUGCUUUUGUUUCUGCAUGUCUUAUUCACAAAACCCCGCACAUUUUUCAACACUACUAAAAUGGGCCCAUCACACUUUUCAGUGGGUAGCUU